UUGAUCCUGGCUCAGGAUGAACGCUGGCGGCGUGCUUAACACAUGCAAGUCGAACGGUGAAGCCAAGCUUGCUUGGUGGAUCAGUGGCGAACGGGUGAGUAACACGUGAGCAACCUGCCCUGAACUCUGGGAUAAGCGCUGGAAACGGCGUCUAAUACUGGAUAUGAGCUGCGGAGGCAUCCUUCGUGGUUGGAAAGAUUUUUCGGUUUGGGAUGGGCUCGCGGCCUAUCAGCUUGUUGGUGAGGUAAUGGCUCACCAAGGCGUCGACGGGUAGCCGGCCUGAGAGGGUGACCGGCCACACUGGGACUGAGACACGGCCCAGACUCCUACGGGAGGCAGCAGUGGGGAAUAUUGCACAAUGGGCGGAAGCCUGAUGCAGCAACGCCGCGUGAGGGAUGACGGCCUUCGGGUUGUAAACCUCUUUUAGCAGGGAAGAAGCGAAAGUGACGGUACCUGCAGAAAAAGCGCCGGCUAACUACGUGCCAGCAGCCGCGGUAAUACGUGAGGGCGCAACGCGUUAUCCGGAAUUAUUGGGCGUAAAGAGCUCGUAGGCGGUUUGUCGCGUCUGCUGUGAAAUCUGGGGGCUCAACCCCCAGCCUGCAGUGGGUACGGGCAGACUAGAGUGCGGUAGGGGAGAUUGGAAUUCCUGGUGUAGCGGUGGAAUGCGCAGAUAUCAGGAGGAACACCGAUGGCGAAGGCAGAUCUCUGGGCCGUAACUGACGCUGAGGAGCGAAAGGGUGGGGAGCAAACAGGCUUAGAUACCCUGGUAGUCCACCCCGUAAACGUUGGGAACUAGUUGUGGGGUCCAUUCCACGGAUUCCGUGACGCAGCUAACGCAUUAAGUUCCCCGCCUGGGGAGUACGGCCGCAAGGCUAAAACUCAAAGGAAUUGACGGGGACCCGCACAAGCGGCGGAGCAUGCGGAUUAAUUCGAUGCAACGCGAAGAACCUUACCAAGGCUUGACAUACACGAGAACGCUGCAGAAAUGUAGAACUCUUUGGACACUCGUGAACAGGUGGUGCAUGGUUGUCGUCAGCUCGUGUCGUGAGAUGUUGGGUUAAGUCCCGCAACGAGCGCAACCCUCGUUCUAUGUUGCCAGCACGUAAUGGUGGGAACUCAUGGGAUACUGCCGGGGUCAACUCGGAGGAAGGUGGGGAUGACGUCAAAUCAUCAUGCCCCUUAUGUCUUGGGCUUCACGCAUGCUACAAUGGCCGGUACAAAGGGCUGCAAUACCGCGAGGUGGAGCGAAUCCCAAAAAGCCGGUCCCAGUUCGGAUUGAGGUCUGCAACUCGACCUCAUGAAGUCGGAGUCGCUAGUAAUCGCAGAUCAGCAACGCUGCGGUGAAUACGUUCCCGGGUCUUGUACACACCGCCCGUCAAGUCAUGAAAGUCGGUAACACCUGAAGCCGGUGGCCCAACCCUUGUGGAGGGAGCCGUCGAAGGUGGGAUCGGUAAUUAGGACUAAGUCGUAACAAGGUAGCCGUACCGGAAGGUGCGGCUGGAUCACCUCCU
rnacentral:rRNA from 1 species